UAGAAAGUAGAAUCGUAAAGGAUGAGAACCGUAAAGGUUCGUGUCGAGCAUCGCGAGACAACAUCGCGCAAGCGAUGGCCCGAAGGGCGAGGCGGAGCCGAGUAAUCCUGCACGACCCACCA
rnacentral:sRNA from 1 species